GAUGAACGCUGGCGGCGUGCCUAAUACAUGCAAGUAGAACGCUGAAGGAAGGAGCUUGCUCUUCCCGGAUGAGUUGCGAACGGGUGAGUAACGCGUAGGUAACCUGCCUGGUAGCGGGGGAUAACUAUUGGAAACGAUAGCUAAUACCGCAUAAUAGUAGAUGUUGCAUGAUUUCUACUUAAAAGGCGCAAUUGCACCACUACCAGAUGGACUUGCGUUGUAUUAGCUAGUUGGUGAGGUAACGGCUCACCAAGGCGACGAUACAUUACCGACCUGAGAGGGGGAUCGGCCACACUGGGAAUGAGACACGGCCCAGACUCCUACGGGAGGCAGCAGGAGGGAAACUUCGGCAAUGGACGGAAGUCUGAACGAGCAAAGCCGCGGGAGUGAAGAAGGUUUUCGGAUCGUAAAGCUCUGUUGUAAGAGAAGAACGAGUGGGAGAGUGGAAAGUUCACGCUGUGACGGUAUCUUACCAGAAAGGGACGGCUAACUACGUG
rnacentral:rRNA from 1 species